rnacentral:lncRNA from 1 species
UUUCUCUUUGCUUCUGGCUGUACAGGCUACUGCCUCGCCGGCUGGCUAGGUCACUCUGUUUACUGAAUACUUAAAUUGGAGUGUGAAGUUUUUAUAACCAGGAAGAAAAUGUUCCCACCAAAUGGUGUUAUAAAGAACACAGCCUGAAGGCCAGAAGUCAUGCCAGUUUCCUUAAAAACUACAAUCUUGUUUUGAUCCCAAAUGUCUUAUAGCCUGUGGACCUGCCCAGAAGGACAUGCUCUAUAGUAAUAGAACCAAAUGUGGCCAGUGUCCAAGCCUAAGAAGUAUGUCUUUCAAGCAUCAGAGUAGUGCAGUUUUAAAGGCAUUCAAAGAUCACUGAAAGCAGUUGAGGCAUCGUACCAGAAAGAGAGACCAGAAGACCCUACUGGUGAAAGUACAGUCCAAUUAAAGCAGAAGACUCCAAGACUUUGGAGAUUCCAGUGCCAUGGGACAAUCUCCAGGAAGAGCAACUAUGGAAUAGAGCCUAUGAGACAAGCUAUGUCCUUAGUGGCAAACAUUUUGGGGGUACACAGAAGACCAUGAAUGAUUUCUGGUUUUUGAAUACUGAGCUCAUUACAGUUUGAAUUUUGUUUUGCUUUGAGUCACUGUGCCCUGAUUGUUCCCUUUUGAAAUAAGAAAUUAUUUUUUUGUUAUUUUACUGUAGGCUACAGUUCGGAGAUUUGAACUUUUAUAAGAGAUUUUGAAGCUUUGUAAAGACUUUGGAUUAUUAAAGAGAAUGAACUUUUAAAAUGGUUUAAAUUUUAAAGAUCUUGAAACUUUGAAGUUUCUAAUGGUUCAUAUUGGAACAUAAAUAUUGAUAUGGAAUUUUAUAGACAACAG